AUUUUAGUAUAAGUAUGUCCCAUGCAAUAAUUGGGACAUACUUAUGCUAAAU
rfam:Cavia porcellus supercont2_14 genomic scaffold, whole genome shotgun sequence.